AGCGAACGCUGGCGGCAGGCCUAACACAUGCAAGUCGAACGAAGUCUUCGGACUUAGUGGCGGACGGGUGAGUAACACGUGGGAACGUGCCUUUAGGUUCGGAAUAACUCAGGGAAACUUGUGCUAAUACCGAAUGUGCCCUUCGGGGGAAAGAUUUAUCGCCUUUAGAGCGGCCCGCGUCUGAUUAGCUCGUUGGUGAGGUAAAGGCUCACCAAGGCGACGAUCAGUAGCUGGUCUGAGAGGAUGAUCAGCCACAUUGGGACUGAGACACGGCCCAAACUCCUACGGGAGGCAGCAGUGGGGAAUCUUGCGCAAUGGGCGAAAGCCUGACGCAGCCAUGCCGCGUGAAUGAUGAAGGUCUUAGGAUUGUAAAAUACUUUCACCGGGGAAGAUAAUGACGGUACCCGGAGAAGAAGCCCCGGCUAACUUCGUGCCAGCCGCCGCCGUAAAAC
rnacentral:rRNA from 1 species